GUGGACGUAGCUCAGUUGGUAGAGCGCAGGUUUGUGGCACCUGUGGUCGUGGGUUCGAUCCCCAUCGUCCACCCCA
rnacentral:tRNA from 3 species